AAGGGCGGCCGGCGAGGUGCUGCAUGGUUGUCGUCAGCUCGUGCCGUGAGGUGUCGGGUUAAGUCCCAUAACGAGCGCAACCCCUACCGUUAGUUGCCAGCGGGUCAUGCCGGGAACUCUAGCGGAACUGCCAGCGUAAGCUGUGAGGAAGGCGGGGAUGACGUCAAAUCAGCACGGCCCUUACGUCCAGGGCUACACACGUGUUACAAUGGCCGGUACAGAGGGCAGCCACCCGCGAGGGGGCGCGAAUCCCGAAAGCCGGUCGCAGUUCGGAUCGGAGUCUGGAACCCGACUCCGUGAAGCUGGAUUCGCUAGUAAUCGCGCAUCAGCCAUGGCGCGGUGAAUACGUUCCCGGGCCUUU
rnacentral:rRNA from 1 species